rnacentral:rRNA from 1 species
AUGAACGGCUCCGACCACGACAACGAGGCCUUCCCGAUGGCCGCCGACGAACAGCCACACCAAGACUCUGCGGUCCUUUCGCCGUCCCACGGGCCACUUCUCGCGAACUUGUUUCUGAUGACACAAAUUGCUGUGUAUGAAGACAAUGUUACCGACGACGAUGAGAGGGGCGGUGGCUUCGGCGCCGUCCCGGCCUCGGAGAAGGAGAUCGCGGGAUUCGCACAGGCGGCCGUGGGGGAUACGAGGGAGGAGGAGUGCGUCGUGUGCUUGGAAAGUUUCAAGGAAGGUGACGACAUCAGGAAGUUGCCGUGCUCCCAUGGCUUCCACAACAGCUGCAUCUCCGAUUGGCUACGGGUCAGCUGCCUCUGCCCGCAAUGCCGCUUCGCGCUGCCGGCCGAUGACGAGUGGUCCAAGCCCAAGACCGAGUUUGAGCAUAGCGCUACCGACUAUGAUGGGUAUGAGAACGAUGCAGGCCCUGCUGCUACUGAUGACGACGACGACGACAACCACGAUGACGAUGACCAUGAUCAUGAGACUCGUGUUUACUUGAUAAUUAAUGUAGGGCGGUCUAUUUGA